rnacentral:rRNA from 1 species
UACGUAGGCAGCGAGCGUUGUUCGGAAUUACUGGGCGUAAAGAGUGUGUAGGCGGUGCUCUAAGUUCGGUGUGAAAUCUCCUGGCUUAACUGGGAGGGUGCGCCGGAAACUGGAAUGCUCGAGCGUGGGAGAGGAAAGCGGAAUUCCUGGUGUAGCGGUGAAAUGCGUAGAUAUCAGGAGGAACACCUGUGGUGUAGACGGCUUUCUGGACCAUUGCUGACGCUGAGACACGAAAGCGUGGGUAGCAAACAGG